rnacentral:rRNA from 1 species
UACAGAGGUCCCAAGCGUUGUUCGGAUUCACUGGGCGUAAAGGGCGCGUAGGCGGUGCGGUAAGUCACCUGUGAAAUCUCCUGGCUCAACUGGGAGCUUGCAGGCGAAACUGCCGUGCUGGAGUGUGGGAGAGGUGCGUGGAAUUCCUGGUGUAGCGGUGAAAUGCGCAGAUAUCAGGAAGAACACCUAUGGCGAAGGCAGCUCUCUGGGACGGUACUGACGCUGAGACGCGAAAGCGUGGGGAGCGAACAGG